UUACCUUACUUGGAAUAAUUCCCGCUAUAGGUGGCGUUUUCAGUUAUUUUGCACAGAAGGCUUGUUGAAAUCAUGGAAAGGGGUUGCAAAGUUUUGUGCUCGUUGUUUUAAAUUAAGUUUUAAGGUCCUUAUUGGAAUAAAUUAUGUAACCUGGGUAUUAUGUGGUAACCGCUGCUUGGCUGUUUUUCUAAGUAACCAGCACCAGUCAGAGAGAAUGAGUGAAAGUGUAGACAUGACGUUCAUUCCAUAAAUGGACGUGAUUAUCAUUCUACACGUUUAACUUUGAUUCUACGAUGUACGUUAUGGCCUCUUAAGUGUUCUACAAUGUAUUAGCUUAGCAAGUAUUAUUAAAGGAACUGUGAACCUA